UCGGGAAUUUUGCGCAAUGGACGAAAGUCUGACGCAGCGACGCCGCGUGGAGGAUGAAUGCCUUCGGGUUGUAAACUCCAAUAAACAGGGAAGAAAUCUUGACAUUACCUGUUGAAAGCACCGACUAACCGCGUGCCAGAAGUCUCGGUGAUGCGUGGGGUGCGAGCGUUAUCCGGAUUUAUUGGGCGUAAAGAGCGCGUAGGCGUUUAAGUAAGUUUUCGCUAAAAUCCUUUGGCUCAACCAAAGAACUGGUGAAAAUACUGCUUAAAUAGAGAAUGUCAGAGGCGAACGGAACUUGUGGUGGAGGGGUGACAUCCGUUGAUAUCACAAGGAACACCAAUUGCGAAGGCAGUUCGCUAGGGCAUUUCUGACGCUGAGGCGCGAAAGCGUGGGGAGCGAACGGG
rnacentral:rRNA from 1 species